rnacentral:misc_RNA from 1 species
GAUGAAGAACGUAGCAAAAUGCGAUAAGUAAUGUGAAUUGCAGAAUUCAGUGAAUCAUCGAAUCUUUGAACGCACAUUGCGCCCGCUGGUAUUCCGGCGGGCAUGCCUGUUCGAGCGUCAUUUCAACCCUCAAGCCCCCGGGUUUGGUGUUGGGGAUCGGCUCUGCCUUACGGCGGUGCCGCCCCCGAAAUACAUUGGCGGUCUCGCUGCAGCCUCCAUUGCGUAGUAGCUAACACCUCGCAACUGGAACGCGGCGCGGCCAUGCCGUAAAACCCCAACUUCUGAAUGUUGACCUCGGAUCAGGUAGGAAUACCCGCUGAACUUAAGCAUAUCAAUAAGCGGAGGA